UUUAGAAAAAAAAAAAAAAAAAAAAAGAACUGCCUAGUAAAAACUUCUCUGGGAUACCAACCACUGGCCUGCUGCCUUUUCAUUCGCUUCGUUAUUUUUUUUUUG
rnacentral:ribozyme from 14 species